UCUGAUGGGGGCAGUGUUGGUGUCUACCAGGUCUUCCAGCUCAUAAACUCUUCAUCCAAACACCUGAAGGCUCUUCCUUGACCUCAGUCAUGGAGACAGCGAAGAUGUUUUUCCGUCUGCCCAGAGUUUCUCCUGGAUACUUCAGAUGUCUGAAGGCCGGACAGAGUGUGGAGGUGAGAGGAGAUGCGAUGGUGUCUCCCCGCUGGGCCGUGCUGUUGGGGGCAGUUGGCCUUGGACUGUCCGGCUACAGCUCUAGACAACUAACCAUCCACCACAAACCCUGCCCGCGGACCCUCCGCUGAACAGCAACAAUCCAGUGACGGAGUUACCAAAGGCUCACCUGAAGGGUCAUUUACCUUCCGUCCUGCACAGCUUUCUGCCGGUCCGAGAUGAUUUUGAGGGAACUGAGAGCAGUUUGAGAAACGUUCUCACUGAGAAUGAACUUAAAUGACUGGAUUGAGAGCAAAACUAACACCUCAGACACGUCAUGCAGUGCCUUAAUCUCAGUGUGGUUAAAAGUAAUAACACUGUCACUUCACUUAUUAGAAAGCACAGCGACCGAACACGCUAAAAUGAUGGUUCUUCAAGGGUUCUUUAAUAAAGAAAAUGGUUCUGAAUAGAACCAUGAACACCCAAGAACCCGUUUCAUGAUUAAAUGCUUCUUUGUAUUGUGAAAGUGUUCUUCACACCGAUGGAGAACGUUCUGUAGAUGGUUCUUUAUAGAACCUUUUUGAAAAUUGUUUAAUAUAAGAACGAAAAAUGAUUCUUCUAAUGUGACCUUGUAACCUUUUCAAAAACGUUCUAUAAAGAACCAUCUACAGAACGUUCUCCAUCAAUUUGAACACUUUCAUGAAGCAAAGGGUUCUGUGAGCGAUUGUUUCUAUUUGGAACCAAAGAACCCUUGAAGAAACAUCAUUUUGAGUGUAAACUUAAAACAACAAAAUAACCCAUUUUAAAAUGUUUCUAAAUUGUGUGUGUGUGUGUGUGUGUGUGUGUGUGUGUGUUGUAAGAUUUGAUAGUAAAAUAUAAAAGUACAGUGUUGUGUACUGGUUCUAGAUACAGAACAACUUUGGAACAACCUAAAACAGGUCAGUAAACACUUAUUCCCUGACGAAAUGCAAUACACCUAAAACACCAGAACCAUCCCAAUAUGGUAGUGAAACUAAAUAAAAUUAAUUUUUUAAAGAAACAAAUUGUUUUUAUUUUUAUGCCUGACGUUGUUUUGCUUCUUGUUGUUUCAAACCUGCAUUAUGAAAGUCAUUCAGCCCCCGUUCCUUGCCAUUGUGGGCGGAGCUAAACUAUUCAGCUGUGGGCUGAUUAUGCGGAUGUUUGUAAACAUGUUUGUUUUCCGUGAUGAAUUCAAAGCAGGCUGUUUUUGCCGCUUAGUUUCCACAUAUGUUUUUUAUAGACUGGGUAGCAAGUGGUACGUUUUGAAAGUUUAGCAGCGUCUACGUACCACAGCAAACCCUGUAUUUCAAAAGAGUGAGGAAAACUAAGUUUUCUGUGACAUGAGGGGCUUUAAGUGAAGUUAAACUGUGUGCGUUUGUAAAGUUUAUUCUUAUUCAAACUCCACUGAAAGCCUAGAGCUCCUUCCACCUCCUAAAUACUGAGUGAAGCAUUAACCAAUUACGGUUCACACCAGCAGAACAGGCAGAUCAGUGUCAGACGUUCCUGCUGAGGAGCCCAGAAGAAAAGUUACCUAACUGACGUUUCUGUAUACUAAUCAAAACAGAGCCACAGAUGAACUGUUUCUGCCAAAAUUACAGUUGUGACAUUAAAUUACAGAUUAAAAACAGUCAUUAUUAUACUUAUUAUAAAAACCAUGUACUGGACAUCAGCUGUGUUACCACAUUUACAUAUCCACACAUCCUUUUUUAUGGGCAGUCCAUUCCUAUGGGCACUGGCUGCGCUGUCCUAACCACUGAGUCUACUAUUAUACUGCUACCUUUAACCCCUUAACAAUUCAUGUUUAUUUAAUACCAAGUUUUAUCAUUCAGUAACUACAGGGAUUUCAGUGCAAGUUAAUGGAGCUAUUCCUAAGUUAUAGAAGUGUAUAAUAAAGCUUUGGACCUGCCCAUGAGCCCGUGGCUUGUUAGGGAGCUGAUUUAUUUACCCUUUAAGUGCGGUAAUUAUUUAUUCUACCAGGCCUCCAGGUGCAAUACUUGUUCUGUGCAGUAUCCCUCCAACAUUGCUCCCAGUACUGGACACUUUUCUUUAUGGACACUUUUUAUUCUUUUAAUGAACGCUUUAUUUUUAUUCUGUGUAUUUAUGUAUAUCACUACAUUUUAUUUAUUCUAUAAUUUGUAUCUUAGUCUACAUAAGCGUGUUUAUACUUUUAUACCUUAUAGUUUUAACUUUAACUAACCCUUUAAAAAUACCAGAUUGUUACACACUAAGGCUUAUUAUUCUGUAACUA